UACGUAGGGAGCGAGCGUUGUCCGGAUUCAUUGGGCGUAAAGAGCUCGUAGGCGGCUUGGCAAGUCGGGUGUGAAAACUCCAGGCUCAACCUGGAGACGCCACCCGAUACUGCCAUGGCUAGAGUCCGGUAGGGGACCACGGAAUUCCCGGUGUAGAGGUGAAAAUUCGUAGAUAUCGGGAGGAACACCAGUGGCGAAGGCGGCGAUCUGGGCAGAUACUGACACUGAGGUGCGAAAGCGUGGGGAGCAAACAGG
rnacentral:rRNA from 1 species